rnacentral:tRNA from 1 species
GGUGAGGUGUCCGAGUGGCUGAAGGAGCACGCCUGGAAAGUGUGUAAGGGGCAACCCUUCGAGAGUUCGAAUCUCUCUCUCACCGCCA